AUGCAUUACCUGGCAUCGGGUUCAGGGUUCUCAGCAACGCUCUGACCCCAGGUGGAGGCUCACUAUUGCACUCCGGCGUGUUGAAGCCUGCGGUGGACUCUAAUAGGGUUUGCUCGGGUGUUCAGUUUUUGCCAGUGGGGAGCACUCAGGCUUCCCUC
rnacentral:snRNA from 1 species